GACGAACGCUGGCGGCGUGCUUAACACAUGCAAGUCGAACGGAAAGGCCCUGCUUUUGUGGGGUGCUCGAGUGGCGAACGGGUGAGUAACACGUGAGUAACCUGCCCUUGACUUUGGGAUAACUUCAGGAAACUGGGGCUAAUACCGGAUAGGAGCUCCUGCUGCAUGGUGGGGGUUGGAAAGUUUCGGCGGUUGGGGAUGGACUCGCGGCUUAUCAGCUUGUUGGUGGGGUAGUGGCUUACCAAGGCUUUGACGGGUAGCCGGCCUGAGAGGGUGACCGGCCACAUUGGGACUGAGAUACGGCCCAGACUCCUACGGGAGGCAGCAGUGGGGAAUAUUGCACAAUGGGCGGAAGCCUGAUGCAGCAACGCCGCGUGCGGGAUGACGGCCUUCGGGUUGUAAACCGCUUUCGCCUGUGACGAAGCGUGAGUGACGGUAAUGGGUAAAGAAGCACCGGCUAACUACGUGCCAGCAGCCGCGGUGAUACGUAGGGUGCGAGCGUUGUCCGGAUUUAUUGGGCGUAAAGGGCUCGUAGGUGGUUGAUCGCGUCGGAAGUGUAAUCUUGGGGCUUAACCCUGAGCGUGCUUUCGAUACGGGUUGACUUGAGAAGGUAGGGGGAGAAUGGAAUUCCUGGUGGAGCGGUGGAAUGCGCAGAUAUCAGGAGGAACACCAGUGGCGAAGGCGGUUCUCUGGGCCUUUCCUGACGCUGAGGAGCGAAAGCGUGGGGAGCGAACAGGCUUAGAUACCCUGGUAGUCCACGCUGUAAACGGUGGGUACUAGGUGUGGGGUCCAUUCCACGGGUUCCGUGCCGUAGCUAACGCUUUAAGUACCCCGCCUGGGGAGUACGGCCGCAAGGCUAAAACUCAAAGGAAUUGACGGGGCCCCGCACAAGCGGCGGAGCAUGCGGAUUAAUUCGAUGCAACGCGUAGAACCUUACCUGGGUUUGACAUGGAUCGGGAGUGCUCAGAGAUGGGUGUGCCUCUUUUGGGGUCGGUUCACAGGUGGUGCAUGGCUGUCGUCAGCUCGUGUCGUGAGAUGUUGGGUUAAGUCCCGCAACGAGCGCAACCCUUGUUCACUGUUGCCAGCACGUUAUGGUGGGGACUCAGUGGAGACCGCCGGGGUCAACUCGGAGGAAGGUGGGGAUGACGUCAAGUCAUCAUGCCCCUUAUGUCCAGGGCUUCACGCAUGCUACAAUGGCUGGUACAGAGAGUGGCGAGCCUGUGAGGGUGAGCGAAUCUCGGAAAGCCGGUCUCAGUUCGGAUUGGGGUCUGCAACUCGACCUCAUGAAGUCGGAGUCGCUAGUAAUCGCAGAUCAGCAACGCUGCGGUGAAUACGUUCCCGGG
rnacentral:rRNA from 1 species